CAUUUAUGGGGUAAGAGAUGGGGCAUGCGUUCUAUUAGUUAGUUGGAGUGGUAACGGNACCCCAAGACAGCGAUAGAUAGGGGCCCUGANAGGGGGAUCCCCCCACACUGGUACUGAGACACGGACCAGACUCCUACGGGAGGCAGCAGUGAGGAAUAUUGGACAAUGGGCGAGAGCCUGAUCCAGCCAUGCCGCGUGCAGGAAGACGGCCCUAUGGGUUGUAAACUGCUUUUGUACGGGAAGAAACACCCCCUCGUGAGGGGGCUUGACGGUACCGUAAGAAUAAGGAUCGGCUAACUCCGUG
rnacentral:rRNA from 1 species